rnacentral:tRNA from 1 species
UGCGCCAUGUGCCUGAAGGGGCAGGAGAACUUCUGCCACGAGUUCCCGACCCUGACCUACGGCGGUACCGACCGCCACGACGGAACCA